rnacentral:miRNA from 1 species
UUUAAACGACAACUUUUGUAACUUCGAGCAACUUUUCAUGAAUUUGAGUCAAAUUAUUCAUGAAAAGUUGCUCGAAGUUAUAAAAGUUGCCGUUUAAAAC